UAUUCCUUCAUGUCAUAAGCAUUUUCGAAAGAAAAGAAAUGGUAAGAAUUUUUGAGCAACAUUGCAGUGUAAGAACUGUAUGGAUUGCUAGUUUGAUUUCUGUUAUGAGUAUCUUUUGUAAAUAAUAUCUUUCGCUUGUAAAGACUCGUUUGAUUCACGUUAAUAACAUUUGUUUGCAGGAUUCAGGAGAACACAUGGAUUUUGACAAUCCACUCUAUCGUGAAAUGUCUGGCUUAGACCUGCCACAAAAUCCAAAUGACAUAAUUUUCUUGCCAGACUCUAAUACGGCUUCAUCUGAUACGGGUGUCAAAAAUUUUUCCAACCCACUCUACGAUGGGAAAAGGACUGUAAAGUUUAACCUAGACCCCAAGUAUCUUCCAGGUGAAGAAGACACCUGCUAAGUGAGCUGUUUGGUUACACGAAGAUAACAGUGGUUUUUCCGCUUUCGCUGGUUACAUUUCAAGGGACAUCAGGAAGGAUAGAUAUAUUUUUUAUGCCAUAAAUAUCGCUACGUUAGUUUAGUGUUUUUAUGUUGUUUUGUUUGUUCCUUUUUUUACUAACACUUAAACGUCGUGUAGAUCUUUUUGUUUUUCUUGAGUGUGUGUGUGUUUUCUCCCCGUCAGUCAUGCAAACCCUGGACUACUUUUCUGCACACUGCCUCAAAUGGCGGCAACCCCCACAUGUUUUGAUAAGGGUGUGUAAACACGGAAAAAGUCCUCUUUUGCAUAAUUGUGCUAUUUCCCCAAUCACUCAAUUAGCUCUAUAUUUCUUUCUUGCUUAUUAACUACUUUAUUUUUUCGGGCUGAAAUAACGCGUGGCUUGUUAACACUCUGCAAGGAUUAUCAAAUUUUAAAGAUGCUAGUCUCGGUUCUUUACAAAUUUUAAUUUUUUUUUUUUAAUGUUGACGAAAGAGCCUAAGUGACGACUUUUAUUUUUUUGCGAGGAUACUGUCGCGCUAAAUUAAAAAAAAAAACGAAACAAAACAAAGCAAAAGCAAUUAAUGCAGAAACCGAGCCUUACAAGGUUAAAUACAACCUGGGGAAGUAUACUAGAUCCAAUAUUACAAAAUUGUAGGGUCGCAACGCUCUAGGAAGCCAAUAAUAGCUACCUAUCAAAAUUAAGGAGGCUGGUUGCCUAGGGAAUAGGAAGGGAAUCUUAGGGGCUUUCUAGAGGGGUUCAAAAUUGGUGUCUUGUAAGAAAAAAAAGUGUAUUGCAUAUACAGCACGAAAGAAUUAAGCUGAUAGACCGAAUCUCCGUAUACUUUCAAUCUUGUAUCAAAAGUCAUCCGGGAUUUUGAUUUAUUUGCUUUCUGACCUCUGCGUCAGCCUAUUUGGCGAUCCGGGAUUGGUUAUUGGGAGAUUCCCCUGGGUAAAAAAUAACUCCAAUGGAUUCCUUUCGGAGUGACCGUUAUUCUCUUAGCUGGAUUCCAUUAUGCUGUCCAACGUCUGUUUUUGAAAUAUUUUGUAAAGCAAUGUCAGGUAUGCCUGUGCCUGGACUUGGGAAAUUUUUGUACACUGAGUUAAAUUUGUCACUUUGGGGUUGUGAUUUUUAAAGUACUCGCUGUUAAAAAUUUUUUAAACAUUUUACUUGACAUGAAUUAGUGGUAUUAAUAGUAUUUUAAUGGUAAUGGUAUUAAUUAUAAAAAUUAAUAUUUUUUUAACGAAUUUUACUCCGAAGUUGAUUGAAUUUAGUAUGUUUCUAUUGAAAAAAAAAUGCGUUGAUUACUGAUUUCAUCGAGGUUAAAAUGUAUGACUUAUACAGAAAAAUGUUUAAAACGAGUAGAAAAAGGGCAAAAAAGAGUUUGUUAAGUUCACAGAGCCGAUACGACUCAACAGAGGUUUGACCCUAGAGGGUUGGUAAUUUGUGGCAAAGAUGUAGUAAUUCUGUUUACUGUUUGGUUUACAAUUCUUAUGAUGUUAGUUUAGAUAAUUUGGAUUUGGAUCAACUAAUAAUCCCUUAAUUGAUAUUUUUCUUUAUUCUCAUCACUUGUCUCCUUGAUGUAGAAAUUCUGUCUUGAUUACUCCUGGAAGUUAAGGACUAUAGGGCCAAAACUAGAAUGUCAGUUGCGUUAGAGAGAAAUGUGUCAGAAUCGCUUUGAGACUGUCUUUAUAGAGGUAUAGUUUAGCAAUAAAAUUCAUAUUAUUCAUAGCUUUAUGAAAGCUACAAGCAUUUAAGCUUCAAAUCUGUAAAAUAAGUGGGUAGAUAAUGAGUAUAGCUUACUCUUAGUUAAAAAAUAUUAAGUCAAAUCCAAGGUAGAUGUUAAAUUUAUGUUUUUAUUUAAUUGCUUCGUAAACUCAAUCGUAGAAACAAGAAAUAAAAUUACGUUCGCAUUGGUACUCUUCAGUAUUUAAAUAAAUGACGUGUUUGUCAGCA